rnacentral:rRNA from 1 species
UGGUAAACUCCAUCUAAGGCUAAAUAUAACCACGAGUCCGAUAGUAAACAAGUACCGUGAGGAAAAGUUGAAAAGAACUUUGAAGAGAGAGUUCAAUAGUACGUGAAACCGCUCAGGGGUAAACGGAGAAGAUCUGAAUAUCUCGAAAGAAGAGAUUCAAGUCUUAGCAUUUUGUUUACUUUUAAGUACCUUUGAGAUGGUAAUUCAGUAUUAUCCAGUAAAUACUGUGGUAAGAAGUUUUGCCGCUCGUACUUUAUUUUAAGUAAGCUGUAAUGCUGGACCGCACUUCUCUUUUAGUAAGGACGUUGCAACCUGUCAGAUAAUACUCUAAGUAUGAUUAAAGUGUCUCUGUAAAUGUAAUUUAAAACUUGUUUUAAUAUUAUAUCUUGCAGUAGCUUUUAUCAAUUUUACUACUGGGUGUUUAUAUUCUGACAGUAUCAACUAUGGUGUAGAGCCACUAAAAAUUAAGUAAGCAUCCGUUUUACAAGUUUGGUAAUUAUAAGUUAACGUCUAACUUUUGUUAGUCUAACUUUAUUACCUACUGUUUGUAAAAUGUAACUUGCUUUUAGUGCUCAUCACACCGGUUGGCAGCGAUUCAGGUUCAGAUUCUUAUCCG